UGUUACUCCAGUAUGGGUGUGAUCCCAAAAGCAACGUGGGAUGGUGGAUGCUAACCAGCCCCAAGCCUAAACCUUCGCAGUGAGCAGAUCUGUUUUAUAAGCAUGAUAACUGUUUUGGAAUAGAGUUUUUAUUAAGCCUCUACUUUGAAGUACAUUGCCAAGUUACGGAAUAAAUGAUUAUGACUCCUUUCCCAAGUUCUCCUUUCACAAUAUAGUAUCUAUAAUUGACCUUAUGAUCUGUUGACUUGUUAUUCUAUAGAAGACUUAAUAUUUCUUUGAUGAAGGGAACCCAAAAAAAAAGACUGUUUUCCUACUGGCCAUAGAUACAUGGGCAAA
rnacentral:lncRNA from 1 species